UACGUAGGGUCCGAGCGUUGUCCGGAAUUAUUGGGCGUAAAGGGCGCGUAGGCGGCCUGUUAAGUCGGACGUGAAAUCCCUCGGCUCAACCGGGGAACUGCGUCCGAUACUGGCGGGCUUGAAUUCGGGAGAGGGAUGUGGAAUUCCAGGUGUAGCGGUGAAAUGCGUAGAUAUCUGGAGGAACACCGGUGGCGAAGGCGGCAUCCUGGACCGACAUUGACGCUGAGGCGCGAAAGCCAGGGGAGCAAACGGG
rnacentral:rRNA from 1 species